GGCGUUUCUCCGGGGCGAGGGUAAAACCGGCGCGGGAAAUGGUCUCGCCGGCCAAGGUGAUUUCACCUUCGUGCACCGGUUCGAAACCGGCGAUCGCCC
rnacentral:tRNA from 1 species